rnacentral:rRNA from 1 species
GACGAACGCUGGCGGCGUGCUUAACACAUGCAAGUCGAACGGUGAAGCGCCUUCCUUUUUGGUGGGUGUGGAUGAGUGGCGAACGGGUGAGUAACACGUGAGUAACCUGCCCCCUUCUUCUGGAUAACCGCAUGAAAGUGUGGCUAAUACGGGAUAUUCUGGGUCUGUCGCAUGAUGGGUCUGGGAAAGAUAUUGUUUUGGUGGGGGAUGGGCUCGCGGCCUAUCAGCUUGUUGGUGGGGUGAUGGCCUACCAAGGCGGUGACGGGUAGCCGGCCUGGGAGGGUGGACGGUCACACUGGGACUGAGACACGGCCGAGACUCGUACGGGAGGCAGCAGUGGGGAAUAUUGCACAAUGGGCGCAAGCCUGAUGCAGCGACGCCGCGUGAGGGAUGGAGGCCUUCGGGUUGUGAACCUCUUUCGCCAGUGAAGCAGGCCUGCCUCGUUUGUGGGUGGGUUGACGGUAGCUGGAUAAGAAGCGCCGGCUAACUACGUG